CUGCCAUGUCAUCUUUCCACACAGCAGUGACUACAUUUAAAAAAAGAGUACUCCAUCGGCAAGAAAACACUUUGGUAUAUCCUAUGGUCAUGAAACUGCACUCGGCAAGGUGAAGAACAGCCUUUUUGGAACCCCCAAGGCCCAAAAACAGGAAGAGUAUCAAGAAAACCAAUGUACAAAUAUUCAGCUGCCUGGACUUCAAGACCCAUAUUUCUGAGCAUUGCUUCAAGUCCCAACUCUGACUGAGAUGUGUCUCCAUAGCAGCUGAAAAUAUCUCAGCCCUCCUGUACAUCAGCUGGCGUUGUCAUCCUACACAUGUAAAUCUAGACAGGUACUGCCGGACUGUCCAGCAUCUGCUAUCUUGCUUUCAUUUGAUUAAAGAUAUUGGUGUAAGGAGGAUUUUACAGAAGGAGAGAAGAUUCAAGAGGCAGAGAGUUCGCGGGAAGUAAUUCCACAGCCUAAGGCCUGUGCAACUGAAGGCAUGGCCACCAAGGAAAGGAACCAAACAACAGCAGUGCCAUCGAACUGGACAUUAGAGGGGAGACAGGUGAUGUGACCAACCAAUGCCAACUAUGUUGAAGCCUACAGAGAAGCUGAGGAAGGAAAGUGCGUUAUUAGUUGCAGGCACAGAGGAUAUCCUUUGAGUUUUCUUAGGACAGUUUGAUUGGGCAGAAACCUUAUUGGAGGGAUUCAAGCAUAUAGUUGCAGGAAACAUGGUUAUUUGGAACUGUCAGUGUAUAAAAAUGCUGCACAAAUCAUAUGGAUAAUGGGUGUAUAUUAGUAGCUCAUUACAUAAAAUGUAACACAUAGCCAGUGUUCAUUGUCAUUUUAACAACACUCAGGACUUUUGGAACCAAUUUCAGCAUCUUUAGCCUGGGAGCAGCUUUAAUUGAUGCAGUUCAAAGUCAAUGUUUUUAAGUAUGUCUUAAUUUAUUAAUUUAUGCUUAAUCGAUAGCUGAAAAUGUAGGAGUGGGAGAGGAGGGAGACCUGGAGAGCCAGCAUUUGAAAGAAAAAGUAGUGAGUAUGUCACCUUAGUUGAGCCUUCCACAGAUCCCGUGCAAAAGUAACUGAGGAUAUCUUUUGAAGAAAUGACAAAGCAUUUACAACAAGAUAUUGGCCUCAUCCUCAGGUUAGCAGGGCACAUGGCUCUAAUACACUUGAGACACUGAAAAAUGUUUUUUAGGGUUAUAUGCUGAAGGCUUUGAAGUAACUGCAAACAUUCUCACACAUCAACCCAUGCUAGUUAACAGGGUUGGCUGUAGGGUUGGCUGACUCCAGUGCUCCAUAACCAGUUGGCUUUCUCUCACCUGGUCAGGAAUAUUGGUGUCUGCUGACAUCUCACAGCUCACUUGGUAAACUGAGCUGAGCUGAGCAAACAUCAUUUGGUGCUUUGGUGGGUACUGUACUAUUUCUUUUAUAGGUCGAUCGCAGAGGAGCCUCACUAGAGUGAGUUCAAGUC